GGGAAGGCCAAAGAAAGAGCAACAGGAAAGGAUGGUAAAAAGGGGGUAGAAAGGAAGAAGGAAGGGAAGAAAAAAGGGAAAACAGCAAGCUCUCUUUCCAGAGCCACACAUUUUUUUCUGUUUGCUCAGUGGCAGUCUGUUAAAGAAAUACUUCAUUGUCACUGAACACAGAGUCAUUAAAGGCACCUUGGAAAUUUGGACCCUUUUACUAGAAUCAGGGCUUAAAUAGCAACUUAAUUUAUGACACUUCUCGAGGCUGAUGGCGUUUUUGCUCUAAGGCACACAGAGCACUGCAUUAUCUGUCAUUUUCAUUAGAUUCAAGCUACAGCUGGGCCAAAAAGACUUAGUUCUAGCAUAUGUGCUCAAAAUGGCCAAGCUGCGAUUGUCCAAAUUCACCCUUUCAAGAUUGCAUUACUGAACAACUGGAGCCAAAGCUAGAAAUUGGAGAGAGCAAAGCGCCUGAAUUCCACUUGGAAAAUGGCAAACACCAUAGGCUCUGAAGAUUGAAGCGUAUUAUCAUGACUAACUCAAAGGGUCAGAGGAGACACUGGCUUCCACCAGCAAGCUCAACGUCUUUUGGCACAUCUGAGGUGGGGAUGGAAGCUGCAAGAGCCUAGAUUUUGACACCACUUAACAAAGAAAAGCCAAUGUCUUUCAUUCCCCUCUGUGCCUUUCAGUAUACCUUGGCCAUGUGGAAUGCAAUAGGUUCUGUACCCAGGUCUUGACCUGGGCCAGCUGGUCUUGAGCCCCGUAGGACGUAGUCUGU
rnacentral:lncRNA from 1 species